rnacentral:rRNA from 1 species
AGUGAACGCUGGCGGUAGGCCUAACACAUGCAAGUCGAACGGCAGCACAGUAAGAGCUUGCUCUUACGGGUGGCGAGUGGCGGACGGGUGAGGAAUACAUCGGAAUCUACUUUUUCGUGGGGGAUAACGUAGGGAAACUUACGCUAAUACCGCAUACGACCUACGGGUGAAAGCAGGGGAUCUUCGGACCUUGCGCGAUUGAAUGAGCCGAUGUCGGAUUAGCUAGUUGGCGGGGUAAAGGCCCACCAAGGCGACGAUCCGUAGCUGGUCUGAGAGGAUGAUCAGCCACACUGGAACUGAGACACGGGCCAGACUCCUACGGGAGGCAGCAGUGGGGAAUAUUGGACAAUGGGCGCAAGCCUUAUCCAGCCAUACCGCGUGGGUGAAGAAGGCCUUCGGGUUUUAAAGCCCUUUUGUUGGGAAAGAAAAGCAGCAGGUUAAUACCCCGCUGUUCUGACGGUACCCAAAGAAUAAGCACCGGCUAACUUCGUG